GAUGAAGAACGCAGCGAAAUGCGAUACUUGGUGUGAAUUGCAGAAUCCCGUGAACCAUCGAGUCUUUGAACGCAAGUUGCGCCCGAAGCCAUUAGGCCGAGGGCACGCCUGCCUGGGCGUCACACGUCGUUGCCCCCCCAUCUACUCCUUCGGGAUUGCGGGGGGCGGAUGAUGGCCUCUCGUGCGCCUCGUCGCGCGGUUGGCCUAAAUGCCAAGUCCUCGGCGACGCACGCCACGACAAUCGGUGGUUGCGAAACCUCGGUUGCCUGUCGGGUGCGGUCGUCGCGCAUCGAGGGCUCGAAAAAAUUGCCGGGCUUCGGCUCGACUUUCAACGCGACCCCAGGUCAGGCGGGGUUACCCGCUGAAUUUAAGCAUAUCAAUAAGCGGAGGA
rnacentral:misc_RNA from 1 species